UACGUAGGGCGCAAGCGUUGUCCGGAAUUAUUGGGCGUAAAGAGCUCGUAGGCGGUUUGUCGCGUCUGCUGUGAAAACCUAAGGCUCAACCUUGGGCUUGCAGUGGGUACGGGCAGACUAGAGUGCGGUAGGGGUGACUGGAAUUCCUGGUGUAGCGGUGGAAUGCGCAGAUAUCAGGAGGAACACCGAUGGCGAAGGCAGGUCACUGGGCCGCAACUGACGCUGAGGAG
rnacentral:rRNA from 1 species